rnacentral:rRNA from 1 species
UAGGGAAUCUUCGGCAAUGGGGGCAACCCUGACCGAGCAACGCCGCGUGAGUGAAGAAGGUUUUCGGAUCGUAAAGCUCUGUUGUAAGAGAAGAACGUGUGUGAGAGUGGAAAGUUCACACAGUGACGGUAACUUACCAGAAAGGGACGGCUAACUACGUGCCAGCAGCCGCGGUAAUACGUAGGUCCCGAGCGUUGUCCGGAUUUAUUGGGCGUAAAGCGAGCGCAGGAGGUUUAAUAAGUCUGAAGUUAAAGGCAGUGGCUUAACCAUUGUUCGCUUUGGAAACUGUUAAACUUUAGUGCAGAAGGGGAGAGUGGAAUUCCAUGUGUAGCAGUGAAAUGCGUAGAUAUAUGGAAGAACACCGGUGGCGAAAGCGGCUCUCUGGUCUGUAACUGACGCUGAGGCUCGAAAGCGUGGGGAGCAAACAGG